AGCGCGGGAGCAAUCCUGGCGGCGAGUGGCGAACGGGUGAGUAAUAUAUCGGAACGUACCUUUCAGUGGGGGAUAACGUAGCGAAAGUUACGCUAAUACCGCAUAUUCUGUGCGCAGGAAAGCAGGGGAUCGCAAGACCUUGCGCUGAUUGAGCGGCCGAUAUCAGAUUAGCUAGUUGGUGAGGUAAAGGCUCACCAAGGCGACGAUCUGUAGCGGGUCUGAGAGGAUGAUCCGCCACACUGGAACUGAGACACGGUCCAGACUCCUACGGGAGGCAGCAGUGGGGAAUUUUGGACAAUGGGGGCAACCCUGAUCCAGCCAUUCCGCGUGAGUGAAGAAGGCCUUCGGGUUGUAAAGCUCUUUCAGCUGGAACGAAACGGUGAGGUCUAAUACGCCUUACUAAUGACGGUACCUGAAGAAGAAGCACCGGCUAACUACGUGCCAGCAGCCGCGGUAAUACGUAGGGUGCGAGCGUUAAUCGGAAUUACUGGGCGUAAAGCGUGCGCAGGCGGUUUUGUAAGUCAGAUGUAAAAGCCCCGGGCUUAACCUGGGAAUUGCGUUUAAAACUACAAGGCUAGAGUGUGUCAGAGGGGGGUAGAAUUCCACGUGUAGCAGUGAAAUGCGUAGAGAUGUGGAGGAAUACCGAUGGCGAAGGCAGCCCCCUGGGAUAACACUGACGCUCAUGCACGAAAGCGUGGGGAGCAAACAGGAUUAGAUACCCUGGUAGUCCACGCCCUAAACGAUGUCAACUAGUUGUCGGGAGGGUAACCCUCUUGGUAACGCAGCUAACGCGUGAAGUUGACCGCCUGGGGAGUACG
rnacentral:rRNA from 1 species